GGCCGAACGGUCUAGUGGUAUUCUCGCUUUGGGUGCGAGAGGUCCCGGGUUCAAUCCCCGGUUCGGCCC
rnacentral:tRNA from 1 species